rnacentral:rRNA from 1 species
UACGUAGGGUGCAAGCGUUAAUCGGAAUUACUGGGCGUAAAGCGUGCGCAGGCGGUUUUGUAAGUCUGGCGUGAAAUCCCCGGGCUCAACCUGGGAAUUGCGUUGGAGACUGCAAGGCUGGAAUCUGGCAGAGGGGGGUAGAAUUCCACGUGUAGCAGUGAAAUGCGUAGAGAUGUGGAGGAACACCGAUGGCGAAGGCAGCCCCCUGGGUCAAGAUUGACGCUCAUGCACGAAAGCGUGGGGAGCAAACAGG